rnacentral:lncRNA from 1 species
CUUCUCAAAUGAGCUAUAUAUAUAUACAGGGGCGCAGCUUUGAAGGGGCCGGGAGGGGCGCCUGACCCCCCCCGAACUUUUCGCCCAAUAGUGUUAUGUAUUUACGUUUCGUACAGAAUCUAUACUAUAUAAUAAAAGAAACCAAUGGAGGGACACUUGUCAUUAAUAAAUAAAUUUUAUAUACUAAAUAAUAAAACAAUAUAUCUUUAAAAACCUCAUUUAUUAUACGCGUUGAAUAAAUAUAAUUUUAUAUAUUAAAUAAUAAAAAGUUAUAUCUAUGAGAACAAUAUUGUACGGGUUGAAUAAAUGUAAUUGUAUAUACCAAAUAAAAAAGUUAUAUCUUUAAAACCACGUGUAUUACAUGAGUUGAAUAAAUGUACAAUUGUUUACCAAAUAAUAAAAUAAUACAUCUUUAAAAAACCUCAUUUAUAACACGGGUUGAAUAAAUGUAAUUUUAUAUAUCAAAUAAUAAAAAAUACAACUUUAAAAAUAUGCGCAUUACACGGUUUGAAUAAAUGUAAUUUUCUAUACAAAAUAAUAAAAAAUAUAUAUCCUUAAAAAACCCCGUGUAUUGUACGAAUUGAAUAAAUCUAAUUUUAUAUAUGGAAUAACAAAAAGUUAUAUCUAUAAUAAAUCUAAUUUUAUAUCUGCACUAAAUAAUAAAAAGUUUCGUAAAAUCUAUUUGAUACCAAACUAAACAAAACGUUCAAAUAUAAUUAAUUCAAAUAAAUAAUAUUAUAAAUGAGAAGGAGAUUAAACUAAAUAAAAAUUAGAGUUAAUUGCCAAAAUCGUCCAUGAGGUGAGAGUGAUGAUAAAGAUAAAAUGAAUUUUUCUGAUAGAAGGAAACAAAAAUUCCCGGUCAAAAAACUUACAGGGACAACUUCGUAAAGUUUGGAGAAGAAGAUGUAUUUUAUAUUAAUGUGGGCAUUGGGAAUAUAAUGAAUUAAAAAGGCAACUCUCUGUCAAGUCAUAAUUCACAUUUGCAGUCAAACUUUCUUAAUAGUUUUUAUUUUUGAAAGGUAACUUUCUUAAUACUUACCCAAUUUAUUUUGUUUAAUUUAUUAUAUACUACUUGUUUGUUUUAUUUAUUUUUUAGUUAUUUGUUUAUAAUUAUAAUAAGUUUAGCUUUAAGUUACUAAUAAAAUUUCGGUUCUUUUUGUUGUUGAAUAUAUUUUUAUCACAAAUCAAAUAUUAUCUAUAAAACUUAUAAAUACCUAUCUGAUAAAGUUGAUAUACCCGUUAAUAAAUAAAUGGUAAUCAUCAUGUGUUUUAGGGCUGCAAUAUAUGUGAUAUAAGUUGAAAUUAUGAGUGAAAUUGGAGCCGAAUUUUUGCUCUAAACUUGUUGAAUCUUUUUGUAAUUAUGUCUAUUUUUAUUUGUUUAAUCUUAAUGUGAUUUAGAUAGAAAUUAGAGCUUGAAACUUAGGGUGAUUUGUUAACAUGUUGUGUUAUUAGAUUAUGCUAUGGGGAAGUAUAAAAGCAUAACUUCUUUUUUUCAAAAGAAAGAAUAAAGAACAAGCAGAGGGAAUUGAUGAUGAAGAUGGACAGAACUAUAAUUUUUCAUUCAUGUGAACCGAAAUUUUAUUAGUAACU